GAAAUAUCAAAAUAUUAAGCUGCUAACUUGAUAUAUAGUGAAUACUUCAUUAAUAUUUCU
rnacentral:tRNA from 1 species